rnacentral:rRNA from 1 species
GACGAACGCUGGCGGCGUGCUUAACACAUGCAAGUCGAACGAAGAGCGAUGGAAGCUUGCUUCUAUCAAUCUUAGUGGCGAACGGGUGAGUAACGCGUAAUCAACCUGCCCUUCAGAGGGGGACAACAGUUGGAAACGACUGCUAAUACCGCAUACGAUCUAACCUCGGCAUCGAGGAAAGAUGAAAGGUGGCCUCUAUGUAUAAGCUAUCACUGAAGGAGGGGAUUGCGUCUGAUUAGCUAGUUGGAGGGGUAACGGCCCACCAAGGCGAUGAUCAGUAGCCGGUCUGAGAGGAUGAACGGCCACAUUGGGACUGAGACACGGCCCAGACUCCUACGGGAGGCAGCGGUGGGGAAUCUUCCGCAAUGGACGAAAGUCUGACGGAGCAACGCCGCGUGAGUGAUGACGGCCUUCGGGUUGUAAAGCUCUGUUAAUCGGGACGAAAGGCCUUCUUGCGAAUAGUGAGAAGGAUUGACGGUACCGGAAUAGAAAGCCACGGCUAACUACGUG